GAAUCUGGUUUCUGAUAUCGAUAACUUUAGUAAUGUUUGACGGAUUUUAAUCAAAUUUGAUAUGAAAGUACAUGGCAUCAAAACAUGGCCUUAGUUUGAUUUCCCAGUAUGUACCCUGCGAGGGGAUGCUAUGCUUUGCGUUGACUUGUUUUAUUUAUGUCAUUUAGCAUUAUGAAUGAGGGCUCAUUAUUUGUAUUUAUUGUAAUAUAUUGAUAUUGGUAUUUUAUUAAAUGUAAUUUUUUGUUUUGUUUUGUUUGUAUUUUAGGUUACUGAGAGUUGAAGAGAGAGUUGCAGAAAAUUUGAUAGAUCUACUCUUACUGUUGGACAGUUACUGAGAGAGAAGCAAGGAGGCAGAGGUAAAUUCAGCUCUUACUGUUGGACAGUUAGUGAGAGGGAAGCAGGGAGGAAGAGGUGAAUAGAGCUCUUAUUGUUGAACAUUUACUGAGAGAGAAGCAAGGAGGCAGAGGUGAAUAGAGCUCUUACUCUUGGACAGUUAUUUAGAGAGAAGCAAGGAGGCAGAGGUAAAUAGAGUUGUUACUGUUGGACAGUUAUUGAGAGACGAGCAAGGAGGAAGAGGUGAAUAGAGCUCUUACUGUUGGACAGUUACUGACACAGAAGCAAGGAGGCAGAGGUGAAUAGAACUCUUACUGUUGGACAGUUAAUGAGAGAGAAGCAAGGAGGCAGAGGUAAAUAGAACUCUUAUUGUUGGACAGUUACUGACACAGAAGCAAGGAGGCAGAGGUGAAUAGAACUCUUACUGUUGGACAGUUAAUGAGAGAGAAGCAAGGAGGCAGAGGUAAAUAGAGUUGUUACUGUUGGACAGUUAUUGAGAGACAAGCAAGGAGGAAUAGGUGAAUAGAGCUGUUACUGUUGGACAGUUACUGAGACAGAAGCAAGGAGGCAGAGGUGAAUAGAGCUCUUACUGUUGGACAGUUACUGACACAGAAGCAAGGAGGCAGAGGUGAACAGAACUCUUACUGUUGGACAGUUAAUGAGAGAGAAGCAAGGAGGCAGAGGUAAAUAGAACUCUUAUUGUUGGACAGUUACUGACACAGAAGCAAGGAGGCAGAGGUGAAUAGAACUCUUACUGUUGGACAGUUAAUGAGAGAGAAGCAAGGAGGCAGAGGUAAAUAGAGUUGUUACUGUUGGACAGUUAUUGAGAGACAAGCAAGGAGGAAGAGGUGAAUAGAGCUGUUACUGUUGGACAGUUACUGAGACAGAAGCAAGGAGGCAGAGGUGAAUAGAGCUCUUACUGUUGGACAGUUGAUGAGAGAGAAGCAAGGAGGCAGAGGUAAAUAGAGUUGUUACUGUUGGACAGUUAUUGAGAGACAAGCAAGGAGGAAGAGGUGAAUAGAGCUGUUACUGUUGGACAGUUACUGAGACAGAAGCAAGGAGGCAGAGGUGAAUAGAGCUCUUACUGUUGGACAGUUACUGACACAGAAGCAAGGAGGCAGAGGUGAAUAGAACUCUUACUGUUGGACAGUUAAUGAGAGAGAAGCAAGGAGGCAGAGGUAAAUAGAACUCUUAUUGUUGGACAGUUACUGACACAGAAGCAAGGAGGCAGAGGUGAAUAGAACUCUUACUGUUGGACAGUUAAUGAGAGAGAAGGAAGGAGGCAGAGGUGCCAUCUGCCAUUUGGACUUUGACUGAAUAAAGUUUUUGGAGUGUACUGGUUGAAGCAGAUUUCAUUAUCAUCUCCAUCUCAUCUCAUACCAUCUCAUCUCAUACCAUUUCAUCUUCACCCACAAAACUCAUAAUCUUGAGUUUUUGAGAAAAGCACUCAUUCAAACCUUCAUCUAUCAUAAAGUCUGUGUGCGGGCAACUCACGACAAUAACCCUAGCACUCUUAAGCUUUGAUACGAACUUCUUGGUGAUCAUGAUGAACACUGUUACUUGGAUUUGAACCAAUCAAGGACCCUAUCAAGUACGACCAACAAAAGAAAAUGUGGCAGAUCAAAGAAGAGAUCAAGGAUUUCCGAAUGUACAGAGUUCAUGCUGGUGGCAAGAGAAAAGAAGCAAAGAACAAGAAAGGUCGAGCAAGGAACAAGAAAGAUGUUUCAGAUGGUGUACAAGAAGAUGCAGUGUUUGACAAUGACCUGAAGAAUAGAAGCUUUGAUACAGUAAAAGAUGAAGCAGUCGAGGUUUCCUGAGUUGUAACGGACACAGUGUUGUACUUCGUACUCAAAGCUGGCAAGGUGUGUACAAGCAUUGCAUGAGAUAACUGCUUCAGAUGACUGCAAAGCGCAACGUUGCAAAGCUCAUUUCUACAACCCUAGUCAUCAAUGACAGUGCACCACCAUAUCCCUUUGCUCACCAGUUGAAACAAACUACCGCCCUCGAGUCAGAAGGCUGUCCUCAUCAUCCAACACACAGCGGUAACAUCACCCAAGGACUUCAGCCCUCCGGUGAUACCUGGUUCAGCAAAGACUAGGCCUUGGGGAGUGUUUACGGCUCUGUCAUCAUAACAGCAUUGUGGCAGAAGUAUGGAACACCAGCAUAUACAGGAUAACUUCUUCAGAUGACUGCAAAGCGCAACAUUGCAAAGCUCACUUCUACAACCCUAGUCACCAAUGACCGUGCACCACCAUACCCCUUUGCUCACCAGUUCAAACAAACUACCGCCCUCGAGUCAGAAGGCUGUCCUCAUCGUCCAACACACAGCGGUAACAUCACCCCAGGACUUCAGCCCUCCGGUGAUACCUGGUUCAGCGAAGACUAGGCCUUGGGGAGUGUUUACGGCUUUGUCACCAAAACAGCAUUGUGGCAGAAGUAUGGAACACCAGCAUAUACAUGUAAUGUAUCGGGACCUUUACAGGAUAACUUCUUCAGAUGACUGCAAAGCGCAACGUUGCAAAGCUCAUUUCUACAACCCUAGUCACCAAUGACAGUGCACCACCAUACCCCUUUGCUCACCAGUUCAAACAAACUACCGCCCUCGAGUCAGAAGGCUGUCCUCAUCGUCCAACACACAGCGGUAACAUCACCCCAGGACUUCACCUCUCCGGUGAUACCUGGUUCAGCGAAGACUAGGCCUUGGGGAGUGGUUACGGCUCUGUCAUAACAGCAUUGUGGCAGAAGUAUGGAACACCAGCAUAUACAUGUAAUGUAUCAGGACCUUCACAGGAUAACUUCUUCAGAUGACUGCAAAGCGCAACGUUGCAAAGCUCAUUUCUACAACCCUAGUCACCAAUGACAGUGCACCACCAUACCCCUUUGCUCACCAGUUGAAACAAACUACCGCCCUCGGGUCAGAAGGCUGUCCUCAUCGUCCAACACACAGCGGUAACAUCACCCCAGGACUUCAGCCCUCCGGUGAUACCUGGUUCAGCGAAGACUAUGCCUUGGGGAGUGUUUACGGCUCUGUCACCAAAACAGCAUUGUGGCAGAAGUAUGGAACACCAGCAUAUACAUGUAAUGUAUCAGGACCUUCACAGGAUGACUGCAAAGCGCAACAUUGCAAAGCUCAUUUCUACAACCCUAGUCACCAAUGACAGUGCACCACCAUAUCCCUUUGUUCACCAGUUCAAACAAACUACCGCCCUCGAGUCAGAAGGCUGUCCUCAUCAUCCAACACACAGCGGUAACAUCACCCAAGGACUUCAGCCCUCCGGUGAUACCUGGUUCAGCAAAGACUAGGCCUUGGGGAGUGUUUACGGCUCUGUCAUCAUAACAGCAUUAUGGCAGAAGUAAGGAACACCAGCAUAUACAGGAUGACUGCAAAGCGCAAUGUUGCAAAGCUCACUUCUACAACCCUAGUCACCAAUGACUGUGCACCACCAUACCCCUUUGCUCACCAGUUCAAACAAACUACCGCCCUCGAUUUAGAAGGCUGUCCUCAUCGUCCAACACACAGCGGUAACAUCACCCCAGGACUUCAGCCCUCCGGUGAUACCUGGUUCAGCGAAGACUAUGCCUUGGGGAGUGUUUACGGCUCUGUCACCAAAACAGCAUUGUGGCAGAAGUAUGGAACACCAGCAUAUACAUGUAAUGUAUCGGGACCUUUACAGGAUAACUUCUUCAGAUGACUGCAAAGCGCAACGUUGCAAAGCUCAUUUCUACAACCCUAGUCACCAAUGACAGUGCACCACCAUAUCCCUUUGCUCACCAGUUGAAACAAACUACCGCCCUCGAGUCAGAAGGCUGUCCUCAUCGUCCAACACACAGCGGUAACAUCACCCCAGGACUUCAGCCCUCCGGUGAUACCUGGUUCAGCGAAGACUAGGCCUUGGGGAGUGUUUACGGCUCUGUCACCAAAACAGCAUUGUGGCAGAAGUAUGGAACACCAGCAUAUACAUGUAAUGUAUCAGGACCUUCACAGGAUAACUUCUUCAGAUGACUGCAAAGCGCAACGUUGCAAAGCUCACUUCUAUCUACAACCCUAGUCACCAAUGACCGUGCACCACCAUAUCCCUUUGCUCACCAGUUCAAACAAACUACCGCCCUCGAGUCAGAAGGCUGUCCUCAUCGUCCAACACACAGCGGUAACAUCACCCCAGGACUUCAGCCCUCCGGUGAUACCUGGUUCAACGAAGACUAGGCCUUGGGGAGUGGUUACGGCUCUGUCAUAAGAGCAUUGUGGCACAAGUAGCCUCGAUCUCGACCAAGACAUUUUGAAUGCCACUCUGUAUGGCUCAGCAUACUUUUUUUUUCUUUAUUCAUACUAACGUGUGUUCAUGUCCAUUUUUCCACCUCUGAUUCUUACAUUUAUUUUCUGAUACCAUGUUUCUGUGUGAUUUUAGUCUUAUUUUUACUGGUAUGACAAUGUAAACAUAUACCUUUGUUCCACACAAGAUAUUUUGGGAUUUUGUGUGCACUUCCAUGUAACUACAUGUAUUUUUAUAUGAUAGUUUUUGUUUCUGAUUGUUCAAUUCCUUUUACGCUCUCAUUCCUUUAUAGUUGUAUCUUAUUUGAGACAGAGGAAGAGAGAGGGUGAAUAGUAGAGAGAGAGGGGGAUGCAGAAACAAAGCGCCAUUUAUGAUGUAUUUUAUUACAUUUGUGUUUUAACUUUGCACAUACAUUGCAAGAUUUUGGGAUUUAACACGUUUAUUUUUCUGUAAGUUUGUAAAUCCUUGUAUUCACACAGUGUUUUGAGUGAUAUAUUGUAAAGAUAGAUCUUAUGCAUGCUCCUUGGGGAAAAGAAGUUAUACAUGCAUGUCACUCUUCUUAUCUUGGCAUUACCGUAAUUCUUAUAUUGGUUGAUGUUGCUGAUAUAUGAAACAGAAUCUGAUGGAUAUCAUUGAUAACAGUUACUGUUUGUCUUCUUUUUAACAUCAGGAUAACAGAUCUUAGUAGUACAGCGAAAGACAAUUCACUGUAAUUUGUUAUAUUGUCAUAUAUUACACGAUUAUGAUUUUCAAUGGCACAUGUUUGUACACUACAAUUUUAUGUCAUUAGAGGUCACAUAUCCAGUUUGUUUCGUGAAUAGUCAAUAUUGGAUUAUGAUUAUAAUGUCAGUUUAUUUGCAACAUUUACCCCAUAUAUAGUGGUAUCUUACGAUCAACUGUCAAUAUCUACUGCAUUCACUAUACAUAGCAGUGUCUUGCUUGCUGUAACAAAGAGGUAUAUAGGGCUGUUAGGGAUUAUCCAUAAUGUACAUUGUUUUUUAGUUUUUAUUGUUAUUGUGUUUAUCUGAACUUAUGUUGUUUAUGUACCUGUUUUAUAUAUGUAUUCCAUUUCUGUUGAAUAUAUAUACAUGUUAAAAUGCCCUUUUCAGAGAUUUGUACAAUGCUGCUCUUUUCAGUAUGUGCUUUUAUUUUGGUAUAUCAAAUUUAAUUGGAUAUGCUGUUUUUAAAAUUUAUUUCUUUUAAAAUGUGUUCGAAGAUGAUAGGUGAUUACCAUUUGUAACAUUGCAUUGCGGUUCUUUUUUAGAUCGCCAAGGAAAUAGCGUGAUGUUAAGUUUGGUGCAGAAUGUCAUUUACAUGCAUGUAGAUAGGUCUAUGCAAUUUAGCUUUGACUUUGGUUAACAAUGAAUAGACCUGUUUACUAAUGUACUUCAUUUUAUGUUUCUCUCUAUAGUACAUGGUAGGGGGUGAAACAAGAAUACAAAGGUUAGAAGGAAAAGUUAAAGAAGAUUGGGGUUCAAUGGCACAUGUUUGUACACUACAAUUUUAUGUCAUUAGAGGUCACAUAUCCAGUUUGUUUUGUGAAUAGUCAAUAUUGGAUUAUGAUUAUAAUGUCAGUUUAUUUGCAACAUUUACCCCAUAUAUAGUGGUACCUUACGAUCAACUGUCAAUAUCUACUGCAUUCACUAUACAUAGCAGUGUCUUGCUUGCUGUAACAAAGAGGUAUAUAGGGCUGUUAGGGAUUAUCCAUAAUGUACAUUGUUUUUUAGUUUUAUUUUUAUUGUGUUUAUCUGAACUUAUAUCUCACUUGCUAUGUAGGGGGCCUUUCAUAUAAUCAGUAGGUAUCUUGUUUAUGUACCUGUUUUAUAUAUGUAUUCCAUUUCUGUUGAAUAUAUAUACAUGUUAAAAUGCCCUUUUUAGAGAUUUGUACAAUGCUGCUCUUUUCAGUAUGUGCUUUUAUUUUGGUAUAUCAAAUUUAAUUGGAUAUGCUGUUUUUAAAAUUUAUUUCUUUUAAAAUGUGUUUGAAGAUGAUAGGUGAUUACCAUUUGUAAUAUUGCAUUGCGGUUCUUUUUUAGAUCGCCAAGGAAAUAGCGUGAUGUUAAGUUUGGUGCAGAAUGUCAUUUACAUGCAUGUAGAUAGGUCUAUGCAAUUUAGCUUUGACUUUGGUUUGAUAAGCUUUGUUUAGUGCUUUGAACAUGAAUUUAACAAUGAAUA